AGCGUCAGAUGGGUAUAAGAGACAGGUGAAUCAUCGAAUCUUUGAACGCACAUUGCGCCCCUUGGUAUUCCGAGGGGCAUGCCUGUUCGAGCGUCAUUAUAACCACUCAAGCCUAGCUUGGUAUUGGGGUUCGCGUGCUCGCGGCCCUUAAAAUCAGUGGCGGUGCCGUCUGGCUCUAAGCGUAGUAAUUCUCUCGCUACAGAGUCCCGGCGGUGACCUGCCAGAACCCCCCAUUUUCUAAGGUUGACCUCGGAUCAGGUAGGGAUACCCGCUGAACUUAAGCAUAUCAAUAAGCGGAGG
rnacentral:misc_RNA from 1 species